rnacentral:snoRNA from 1 species
AAAGACUUACUUCAUAGGAUCAUUUCUAUAGUAAGCUCUUACCGAGAACUUCACACUACGUGAAUGAUCGACAACCACGAUGAGUGAGGCCGUGGCGCGGGACCCUGAGCGUGAGUGCUGGCGAUGGUAG